CCUGCCACUAGAGGCUUUGCAGGUGUGGCUGCUGUGUCACAUGUGCAUCAGUAGGUGACAGAGAAGAGAAAGGCUAUGACUAUACUCACUGUUAUGGCCUAUGAACAUCUGAAUGAUUAGUAGCCUAACAUU